rnacentral:rRNA from 1 species
UACAGAGGUCUCAAGCGUUGUUCGGAUUCAUUGGGCGUAAAGGGUGCGUAGGCGGCGAGGUAAGUCGGAUGUGAAAUCCCGGGGCUCAACUCCGGAUCUGCGGUGGGUACGGGCAGACUAGAGUGAUGUAGGGGGAGACUGGGAAUUCCUGGUGUAGCGGUGAAAUGCGCAGAUAUCAGGAGGAACACCCGUGGCGAAGGCGGUUCUCUGGGACGGUACUGACGCUGAGACGCGAAAGCGUGGGGAGCGAACAGG